GGACUACACGGGUAUCUAAUCCCGUUCGCUCCCCUGGCUUUCGUGUCUCAGCGUCAGCACAACCCCAGCGACCUGUUUUCACCAUUGGCGUUCCAAACGAUAUCUACGCAUUUCACCGCUCCACCGUUUGUUCCGGUCGCCCCUAGUUGGCUCAAGACACCCAGUAUACCAAGCAGUUCCACGGUUAAGCCGUGGGAUUUCACAAGGUACUUAGGAAUCCGCCUACACACGCUUUAAGCCCAGUGAUUCCGCCUAACGCUCGGCACCUCUGUCUUACCGCGGCUGCUGGCAC
rnacentral:rRNA from 1 species